ACUCGGUUCUGGCGACUCCUUAGUGGAUGUUCAAGGAGACACUUAGCUUCUCCUUCUUAGAGGAGAGUGGGGACCUGACCCCUGCACUGGGACACACCAGAUGGGCCUUGGGGAGCCUCUGAACGGUGCCAUCAGGUCUGCCGGUAGAAAGACGGCUUUGGGAGUAGGCAGGAGGGUUGGAGGGAGGUCGGCAGAGAGCCAGGGAAACCAGGAGAAACCCUCGCUGCUGCUUCUCCCUGGGAGCGGAUCCUUCUGUCUCAGUCAGCUUGGGCUGCCAUAGCGAAACACCACAGACUGGGUGGCUUAAACACCAGAAGUUUAUUUUCUCUGGGGACAGAGAUAACAAAAUGGCAUAGCAUAUGUCGAGACUUCUAAAAUAGAGUUGGGAGGCCAUUAAGGAAAUGGGGCUUAUGCACAUAUACCACGUCUCUACCCAGAGGGAAUGUAAAUUUUUGGGGGGUUGGUGAGGAAGAUUGGCCCUGAGCUAACAUCUGUUGCCAAUCUUCCUCUUUUUGCUUGAAGAAGAUUGUCGCUGAGCUAACAUCCGUGCGAAUCUUCCUCUGUUUUGUAUGUGGGAUGCUGCCGCAGCAUGGCUUGACACACAGUGCUAGGUCGGCACCCAGGAUCCCAACAUGUGAACCCUGGGCCACCCAAGCGGAACGCGAACUUAACCACUAUGCCACCACCGGGCCAGCCUGGGAACGUAACUUUUGCACUGUGCUUCUGUCAUAGCUACUCUCGCAGGUCUAAGUUUCUGACCUACAUUAUUUUCCUUCUCUGAAGAACUUCUUUUAACAUGACUUGUAAGGCAGGUCUGGAGGCGCUUCUGACCAGCGAGCGAAUUUUUUCCUCAUUUUGGCCUGACUGGCUAUUGAGCACGCAUUGCAUAUCUGCUUAGACAUUUCCUUUGGCCAGAACAAAGGCCCUUGAGAUAAAGAUGCAACUUCCCCCCGACAUUAGCAUUUUUCUUUAGGCUAGGAACUGAUUGCUGCAUUCACCUCCCAGCUCACCUGUGACCACCCAGCUGGAGACAACAGACUGCCACCCUGCUGUGUUCACAGAGACAGAAGACCUACCUGCUAUUUCCAUCAAUCGCUGUGCCGACAGAGCAGUCUCCCGACUAUUGUGGGAGGGACAUUUCAAUCCUAUGUGAAACAUCCUCUUUGAGGGUAUAUAACCACCCUUAUACCCCCACUUCUUUGGAGUGCUCUGUUCCUUUGUGGAAAGACUCUCCCGGGUUAUAAUCCUCAGAUUUAAGCUCAGAAUAAACUCACCCAAAUUUUCACUUAUA
rnacentral:lncRNA from 1 species